AUUGAACGCUGGCGGCAGGCCUAACACAUGCAAGUCGAACGAGUGGCGGACGGGUGAGUAACGUCUGGGAACCUGCCUGGUGGAGGGGGAUAACUACUGGAAACGGUAGCUAAUACCGCAUACCAUUGGAUGUGCCCAUAUGGGAUUAGCUAGUAGGGGGGGUAAAGGCUCACCUAGGCGACGAUCCCUAGCUGGUCUGAGAGGAUGACCGGCAAAACUGGAACUGGGACACGGUCCAGACGCCUACGGGAGGAAGCAGUGGGAAAUAUUGCCCAAUGGGCGCAAGCCGGAUGCAGCCAUGCCGCGGGUAUGAAGAAGGCCUUCGGGUUGUAAAGUACUUUCAGCGGGGAGGCGUUACCCGCAGAAGAAGCAACGGCUAACUCCGUGCCAGCAGCCGCGGUAAUUC
rnacentral:rRNA from 1 species